ACGAACCGUGCGAACGUUAUUCGGAAUCACUGGGCUUAAAGCGCGUGUAGGCGGGCCGCCCCGUCGGCUGCUGAAAUCCCCCGGCUCAACCGGGGAAGUGGCACCGAUACGAGCGGCCUCGAGGGGGGUAGGGGGGUCUGGAACUUCCGGUGGAGCGGUGAAAUGCGUUGAGAUCGGAAGGAACGCCCGUGGCGAAAGCGAGGCCCUGGACCCUUACUGACGCUGAGACGCGAAAGCCAGGGGAGCGAACGGGAUUAGAUACCCCGGUAGUCCUGGCCGUAAACGAUGAACACUGGGUAGGGGGCUCGCCGAUGGGCUCCCUGCCGUAGGGAAACCGUGAAGUGUUCCGCCUGGGGAGUAUGGUCGCAAGGCUG
rnacentral:rRNA from 1 species